CAAAUCCAAAUAAAGUGGCCAUGUAUGGCUUAUUUCUGUAUUGUUGCUACACAUCACAUAUAGGCUGAUUAAAGAUCAAAUUUCCUUGCUUGUAAGUAAAAUUAUGGCAUCUCAAGGUGGAAAAAAAAUUGUUUAAACUAAUGAGACUGUGCGUGCAUGAAGAGAAGAAGAACGGGGAUAGGUAAUUAAAGGAGACUUUGGUGGUGACGAGAUUAGGAACUAGGUCCUGAACUUACCCUACAGACAUCUGGGGUUUGUGAGCCAAGGACAAGAGUUUAGUGAAAUGGGAGAGACAUCUAUGGUAACUAUGGGGACAAGUAGAGCCUAGAAGGGGAAACAAAGCAAAAUACUUUCUUCACAUGUUUAUAGUGGUGUUCAUAUUGAGGUGGAUUAGAAAGAUAGUUUCUAAUCUUAGAUUGAAAGGCACCUCAAGAAGCCAUCUCUGUUUUGUUUUUUUAAUGUAUUUUUAAUUUAGG
rnacentral:lncRNA from 10 species